UACAGAGGUGGCAAGCGUUGUUCGGAAUUACUGGGCGUAAAGGGCGCGUAGGCGGCCCGUCAAGUCCCGUGUGAAAGCCCCCGGCUCAACCGGGGAACUGCACGGGAAACUAGCAGGCUUGAGUUCGGGAGAGGGAAGCGGAAUUUCGGGUGUAGCGGUGAAAUGCGCAGAUAUCCGAAGGAACACCGGUGGCGAAGGCGGCUUCCUGGACCGACACUGACGCUGAUGCACGAAAGCGUGGGGAGCAAACAGG
rnacentral:rRNA from 1 species